UCCCUAAACAGAACACAAACCUAGCAAACAUUAAAUUUGAACUUUCAAUCCCACCAUGGUAGAGUGAUUUCAAAAUGAGGCUGUCUGUCGCUGCAUGUUGAAUAAUUUCAUUAUUUUCAGGCUUUGCCCGUACAGCAGAAUAAUUCACAUUACUUCAGGGAAAUGACACCUGCUAAUUAACCACAAGCAGAAGAAUUGCUUUAUCAGCCGUUGUGACAAGAAGAAAGUCAAGCAGUACAGAGCCACAAACAGCUUGAGAAAGGCAAGCUGGGCAUUGUUGCAACAGGGAAGAAGAAGGCAUAACACAGAAGGCAUGACUGUGCAACUCUUGCUCAGGUUGGUGAUCAGUUACUCAUGAGAAUAGACCAUUAACUUGUAAGGAACUAUUCAUGUGUGUAAAAUUUACAGAGCACCUGGAAAGGUGAGGCUGCUAGUGAGGAAGGGAAGAAGGGGAAGCUUAUGGUCCACCUAGGCACUUACUAUAUUGAAUAAUCAGCAUUUUUAUUUGCAGCAUGGUUUAGCAUUAUUACCUUUGUCAAUUUGCAAAAUGUCAUCAUGUUGCAGUGCACAUGCUAGCUUGAUACUGUGACAUAAAUAUCACAAAUAUUGCCUAACCUUAGCGCAGACCCCACCAGUAUGAU
rnacentral:lncRNA from 1 species